AAAGCAUCUUGCAGCACUGACUACAUUUAUGUACACAGGUUUUCACAUCUCUAACACAUCCAGCUGAAAGCAUAUCUUAAUCCAUCAAGAGGACAAUCGAAACUCUCACAUUGUUGAAGAAUACAAGCAAUAAAAACUCAUAGAUAGAAGAAUCAGAUGUGCUCUGAUACCACAUGACUCUAGAAGGAGCCAAAGCAAAAAAGAAUCAUGCAUCUCUUAGGCAAGCUCUCCUCUUUUGAUACCAACUUCUCUAGUCUCAUAAAAACGC
rnacentral:misc_RNA from 1 species